AGGAAAGACAGAGCAUGGCUGCUGGGCAGCCAGGUCAACCGGACGGCAAGGCAGGGGUUGGCCGGGGAAGCACUGCGCCGCCCCUGCAUGCCCUGCAUCCUCGGGUCCUGGGAGGGCUGCUCAGUAACUGGAAGGAAAAUGAAACUGAAAAAGAGCAAGGGUCCCGUAGGAUUGAACACAGUUGGUGAAACUUGGGCCGUCUGCCUCAAGUCCCCGCUUGGCAAAACCACUCCCUCCUGGUGGACGCCCUCACCAUGAAGAGUUAUAGUAAGGUGUUGGUGAGGCUGGCUGCUCUGGUUGCUAAGAGAGACCCGGCCUGCCACACUCCUAAGAGACACAGAAGACCAGCCUACCCUUCCCUUGCCUCCCGUGACACUGCCCUGCAGGUGGCUGGCCAAGAGAAGCCUGCCCGGCGACGCUGAGGCACCGAACAUGAGCAGGGGAGGAAGGAAUGCCUGGGAGCAGCUGAGCCGAGCCCCUGCCACCAGCCUCCUCCGCACGCCCGUGGAAUCAGCACUUUCUGCUUCCCGCCCCUGAGAGCCUUGCUCUGGGGCCACUCACAGCCAAUUAAGUGGGGAUGUUGUAAGAGACUCUAAAAUACGUGGAGCUGGCUGAGGACGCGGGACCGACCCCAUUAUGUGUGUGUGAGGCUGAUUAAAGUGUUACCUGUCACCAGGUGUCGCCA
rnacentral:lncRNA from 1 species